GUAAAAGUUCUCUAUAGAUCAAAGAUUUCUUCAAGUAGGAAGAAGAUUAGUCAUCACUCUCCACUUCUUGAAAAGCUCAUUAGAUUUUAAAAAGAGUAAUGAAAACUAAACUGAAGUGUUUAUAGAAAACUGUAGAGAAUAAUGGUGGGUAGAUGUAGAAAGCAGGUAGGAGAAAACUCUCCUCUUUUUUCUUUUCAAAUUAGGUUUUUAUAGAGAUAUAUAUAGAGAAGAGUCCUCCUCUAGAUAAGUCUCUCUAGAGAUGUAUACUUAGUAUAAGGGUUCAAACAAUAAAAAGGAUUGUUGAGAAGAUAAAGUUUGUGGAAAGUUGGAUAUUUGACAUCUCUCUUAGGGCUCUUGAGAAGCUUAAAAAAAAUAAGAAGGCAUCUUAUAAAUGGUUCAUGGAGUGGACUGGAGAGGCUAGAUUUGAAGUUACAAGUAUAGCAAAUGCAACAAAUAGGCAUAUUGUUAGUUUGGACAAUAGGUCUUGCACCUGCAUGGCAUUUGACCUAACUGGGAUACUUUGCCCACGUGCCAUAUGUGCUGUCUAUCACAUUAAGCAAGACCUAGAGGACUAUGUAGCUCAUUGGUAUAGAAAGGAGACGUAUUUGAAGGUUAUGAGUUCUCCAUGCAAAAAGGGAAGAUGCUUUGGAAAGAGAGUGGGUUGCCACCACUUGAGCCACUUGCUGUGAGGAAGAUGCCAAGAAGAUAAAAAAAGGCUAGAAGAAAAGAUAAAGAAGAACCAAAGAAAGUGGGCAAGCUGUCAAGAAAGGGACGUGUGAUGACAUAUGGCUUGUGUAAUAGAAAGGGACACAAUCGAAUUGGCUGUCCAAAUAGGCAAACAGCCUCAGAGGGUCUUUCGUCUAUGAAAAAUAAGGAAAGAGCAACCAGCAGUUAAAGAGAGCAAGGUUCUCAAAUGUUUUAGCAAGUGAAAGGAAGCUUGCUGCAGAAGGACUGAAAAAUGCAUACGAUGCUAGUAAGAAGAAAGAUGCUAAAAGUACAAAGAAGGAAGAAGCUGCAAAUAAGAAAACUUUCUAUACAUCAGUUGAUAAUGUUGCAAAUAUGAAUACAAAAAGGGGGACUAGAGGAACUUCCACUUCUAAUUCUUGUGUUGAUGAUUUUAAAAGCUAUGUAAGAGCUAGUCGCGAAAAUCUUCAAAAGUAACAACAAUUAAGUAGGCAAGCUUUAGAGGAAAGACAUAAAGAGUUUAACGGAUUUGUAAGUGUUAGAAAGGAAGACAACAAUCUCUAAAAAUCCAAAAGGCUAAAGUGACUCGUUAUGGGUAUUAUGUCAGCAUUGAUAAGGGAUUUGCUAUUUUAAAUGUAUGAUUUUCCAUUUUUUGCCA